rnacentral:rRNA from 1 species
UACGUAGGGUGCGAGCGUUAAUCGGAAUUACUGGGCGUAAAGCGUGCGCAGGCGGUUUUGUAAGCCAGAUGUGAAAUCCCCGGGCUCAACCUGGGAAUGGCAUUUGGGACUGCAAGGCUGGAGUGCGGCAGAGGAGACUGGAAUUCCUGGUGUAGCAGUGAAAUGCGUAGAUAUCAGGAGGAAUACCGAUGGCGAAGGCAGGUCUCUGGGCUGACACUGACGCUCAUGCACGAAAGCGUGGGGAGCAAACGGG